AGUAACCUGCCCUGGAGUGGGGAAUAACAGCUGGAAACAGCUGCUAAUACCGCAUAAUGCAGUUGGGCCGCAUGGCUCUGACUGCCAAAGAUUUAUCGCUCUGGGAUGGACUCGCGUCUGAUUAGCUAGUUGGUGGGGCAACGGCCCACCAAGGCGACGAUCAGUAGCCGGACUGAGAGGUUGGCCGGCCACAUUGGGACUGAGACACGGCCCAGACUCCUACGGAAGGCAGCAG
rnacentral:rRNA from 1 species